rnacentral:rRNA from 1 species
GAAGUCAAGCAGUCUCGGGCUAGGUUAGUACUUGGAUGGGUGACCGCUUGGGAAUACCAAGUGUGAUGAGCA